AUGGUUCCAAUGAGAGUGUUACAGGACCA
rnacentral:piRNA from 1 species